rnacentral:rRNA from 1 species
CCGUCACCACCAAAAGAGUUAAGCACAGGGACACAUUUGAAGUCUCAGAGCCGGGUGUUGGUUCCGGUAGAGAUCGAGGGAAGUUAGUACCGAAGUCUGAGAUGGAAGAUGGCGAGAAAAGCUGUGUGUAUUUCUGAGGUGCCCGUACCGCAAACCGACACAGGUAGGUAGGAAGAAGAUUCUAAGGCCAACGGGAGAAGGGUUGUUAAAGAACUCGGCAAAUUGACCCCGUAACUUCGGGAGAAGGGGUGCUCCAGAGAUGGAGCCGCAGAGAAUCGGCCCAAGCAACUGUUUACCAAAAACACAGGUUUGUGCUAAAUCGAAAGAUGACGUAUACGAGCUGACGCCUGCCCGGUGCUGGAAGGUUAAGAGGAGAUGUGCAAGCAUUGAAUCGAAGCCCCAGUGAACGGCGGCCGUAACGAUAACGGUCCUAAGGUAGCGAAAUUCCUUGUCAGGUAAGUUCUGACCCGCAUGAAAGGCGUAAUGAUUUGGGCACUGUCUCAACAGCCCGCCCGGCGAAAUUGUAGUACCGGUGAAGAUGCCGGUUACCCGCGACAAGACGGAAAGACCCCAUGGAGCUUUACUGUAGCCUAAUAUUGGGUUUCGAUGUUGCAUGCACAGGAUAGAUGGGACACAGGGAAACAAUCGCUUUGGCGGUUGCGGAGUGGCCGUUGGGAUACCAUCCUUGCGAUACUGGAAUUCUAACCUGCGGCUCUGAAUCGAGUCGGGGGACAUUGUUAGGUGGGCAGUUUGACUGGGGCGGUCGCCUCCUAAAAAGUAACGGAGGCGUUCAAAGGUUCGCUCAGCUUGAACGGAAAUCAAGCAAAGGAGUGCAAACGCAGAAGCGAGCCUAACUGCGAGACUGACGGGUCGAGCAGUAACGAAAGUUGGAGUUAGUGAUCCGGUGGUAUGUGAGUGGAGAUGCCAUCGCUCAACGGAUAAAAGUUACCCUGGGGAUAACAGGCUGAUCUCCCCCAAGAGUCCACAUCGACGGGGAGGUUUGGCACCUCGAUGUCGGCUCAUCGCAUCCUGGGGCUGUAUUCGGUCCCAAGGGUUUGGCUGUUCGCCAAUUAAAGCGGUACGCGAGCUGGGUUCAGAACGUCGUGAGACAGUUCGGUCCCUAUCUGUCGUGGGCGCAGGAUAUUUGAUGGGAGCUGUCCCUAGUACGAGAGGACCGGGACGGACGUACCUCUGGCGCACCAGUUGUUCCACCAGGAGCAUAGCUGGGCAACUACGUACGGAUCGGAUAAACGCUGAAAGCAUCUAAGCGUGAAGCCGACCCAAAGAUAAGAUAUCCCACUGAUUAGAUCAGGUAAGAUCCCUUGAAGACUACAAGGUUGAUAGGCACGAUGUGUAAGUGGAGUGUUCCAUUCAGCAAGAGUGUACUAAUAGAUCGAGGGCUUGACC